CUGUCCAGGUGCUGAAACCUUUCCCCCGUGUUUAGAGCACUUUGCUCAGCGGCGUAAAGUGAGUGAUGAGCCCUCUACACAGCAAAGAAGCAAGAACUUGCUUUGCAGCCUGAGUAGUUCUUCUUUCGAUUGUUAUUUGUCGGCUUUAACAAAAAAAAACAUUUUAAUUCACUUAAACUUCACAUUGAUUACAUCGAAAGUGGUACAAAAGUGUUUUUGAAAGUCGGAACAUGGAACUACAAUGCCUGCAAGAGGCGUUGAAAGUCGAGAUUCAAAGUCAUCAGAAACUAGUUGCACAGAUGAAGCAAGACCCGCAGGAUGGAGAGCUUAAGAAACAACGACACGAAAGACACAACAGAAUAACAGCCCUAAGCGAAAAACAAGUAAGAAAACCCCCCCAAAAAGCAUAUGUAUUGCUUUAUUAUACACUGACGUUGGCUAUAAUCAUCAUUCAUGUCACGGCAAUAGUCUUGUAUUGUGUGAGACCGUUAUGUUCAGGACAAUGUGCUUGUUUUUAAAAAAAAAAAAGGUUUCAAAGUAAAAGGCAUUGAUUUAGUCUUUGUGUUGUAGAAUUCCUCAACGUAAUCUGCUGAUUCUGUCCGGAUACUCUUUAAGUUGUGUUA